AUUGAACGCUGGCGGCAGGCCUAACACAUGCAAGUCGAACGAGUGGCGGACGGGAGAGCAAUGUCUGGGAAACUGCCUGAUGGAGGGGGAUAACUACUGGAAACGGUAGCUAAUCCCGCAUACCAGCAGACGAGCCCAGAUGGGAUUAGCUAGUGGGUGGGGUAACGGCUCACCAAGGCGACGAGCCCUCGGGGGGCUGAGGGGAUGACCAGCAACACUGGAACUGAGACGCGGUCCAGACUCCGACGGGAGGCAGCAGUGGGGAAUAUUGCACAAUUGGCGCAAGCCUGAUGCAGCCAUGCCGCGUGUAUGACGAGGGCCUUCGGGGUGUAAAGUACUUUCAGCGGGGAGGCGUUACCCGCAGAAGAAGCACCGGCUAACUCCGUGCCAGCAGCCGCGGUAAUUC
rnacentral:rRNA from 1 species